GCACCCGUAGCUCAGCUGGAUAGAGCGCUGCCCUCCGAAGGCAGAGGCCAGGGUUCAGAAUCCUUCGGGUGCACCA
rnacentral:tRNA from 1 species